CAUUAGCAGUGUGAUUUUCAGUUCCUUUCCUAAUGAAUUGUAGCAUGGAAUUUACCUUUUUCACAGCUGCCACACAGCAGGUCAAGAUCUUCCACUCAGCUUUGGACUGUGAGAUCCUGAGGUUCUAGAAAAAAAGCAAAGGCGAUCCAAUAAACCUGAAGUCUCCCCACUGUAUGAAUGCUUUACUCAGGAGUAAGGGCAGACUUCUACUGUGAUAAAGCAUUCACACAGCACAGGAUACGUGCCCAGCCGUGACCCCACUUACACCAGGAAAGCUCCAGAUGACCAUUGCUCACAUCUAGCUAUUAUGAUGUGUCAGGAUGGCUGUCACUGCCUCACAUGCAUCACAAAGCAGGUGCCAAAGACAAAGUCCAGCUGAGGACACAAGCUGAGUUAGUGCAAAGGAAAGCAGGAGGAGGAGAGAGAGAGAGAAAGAAAGAAGUCAAAGAGGGCACCAAGCCUGCUGUGGCCAGGCCUUGCCAGUGGGCUUCCCGCAGGCAUCUGACUGGGACACUGUGAGAACACUGGACAACAGCCCGGCCUGUAUUAUUAGCAUUCUUAAGACAAGAUGCUGAGC